AAGAAAUAUAUGUAUAUAUCUUUCAUUGUACACCUGAAGAGCCGUUGAACGGCGAAAGAUGUUGUGCAGAUAUAAAGAAGAUUUGACAA